rnacentral:lncRNA from 1 species
UAAUUUCUGGUGGCCGCAAGAAAACCGGUCCAGGGCCUGGGCUUGGGGAUUGCUGUUCCGGCCACCAGGCUUCUGUCUCCUUUAUAAGGCCAGAAAGGCCGAAUGCCUCCUCCAAGGUGACCUGCAUGUCCCAGCUUGGACCUAGGUCCUGCCUGAGGUCAGGGUGAUGACCUGCAUGGUCCCAGCUGCCUCCAGGUUAGAAGGGGCCUCAGGCCAGCUCUGUACAUGAGAGGGGAGACUCUCUGACCACCUGUGUUCCCACCUGCUGGGCGAUACUGCUCUUCCCAUGGGGUGGCAUGAGGAAGUCCUUGGGGACUAGAGGAGCAGGACUUGCCUCAUGCCUAGUAGGUGCUAAGCACAGAGGGCUCUGAGGGUGCCCCAGGGGGCCCCUCCUGGUUUCACAAUGCCCCCACUGACCCUCAGCAUCCAGUGCUGAAAGGCUGUGGAGAGACCUGGCGUCUGUUUAAAGAUGAGGCUGGGGGGCCUGGAGUGGGCGGGCAGAGUGCCCAAGGUCCCCUGCGAGUUGGUGGUAGAGCAGGAUGAGAGGCCCAGGUCCUCACCCCUGAAUUGUCUCCUGUCCACUUUGCUCUUGACCCUGGGGUCUCCUCCGCGUUGCUCUCGUGGGUGGCAAGGUUUGCUGAGGCUCUAGUGGGGCUGCAGCUCGG